CACGUAGUUAGCCGUGGCUUUCCCAUAAGGUACCGUCAAUUGAUAGUCAUUUCCUCCUAUCACCUUUCUUCCCUUAUAACAGAAUUUUACAACCCGAAGGCCUUCUUCAUUCACGCGGCGUUGCUCGGUCAGGCUUUCGCCCAUUGCCGAAGAUUCCCUACUGCUGCCUCCCGUAGGAGUCUGGGCCGUGUCUCAGUCCCAGUGUGGCCGUUCACCCUCUCAGGUCGGCUACGCAUCGUCGCCUUGGUAGGCCUUUACCCCACCAACUAGCUAAUGCGCCGCAGGCUCAUCCAUCAGUGAUGCCAGGAGCAUCUUUAAACUUUCGUCCUAUCCGGUAUUAGCGAUCGUUUCCAAUCGUUGUCCCCGUCUGAUGGGCAGAUCACCUACGUGUUACUCACCCGUUCGCCGCUUCCCACCGAAGUGGUUCGCUCGACUUGCAUGUAUUAGGCACGCCGCCAGCGUUCAUCCUGAGCCAGGAUCAAACUCU
rnacentral:rRNA from 1 species